rnacentral:rRNA from 1 species
UACGUAGGGUGCAAGCGUUAAUCGGAAUUACUGGGCGUAAAGCGUGCGCAGGCGGUCUUGCAAGACAGAUGUGAAAUCCCCGGGCUUAACCUGGGAACUGCAUUUGUGACUGCAAGGCUGGAGUACGGCAGAGGGGGAUGGAAUUCCGCGUGUAGCAGUGAAAUGCGUAGAGAUGUGGAGGAACACCGAUGGCGAAGGCAGCCCCCUGGGUCAAGAUUGACGCUCAUGCACGAAAGCGUGGGGAGCAAACAGG